rnacentral:rRNA from 1 species
UACGGGGGAGCAAGCGUUGUUCGGAUUUACUGGGCGUAAAGGGCGUGUAGGCGGCCACCGCAAGUCGGUUGUGAAAUCUCCGGGCUUAACCCGGAAAGGUCAACCGAUACUGCGGGCUAGAGUGCAGAAGGGGCAACUGGAAUUCUCGGUGUAGCGGUGAAAUGCGUAGAUAUCGAGAGGAACACCUGCGGCGAAGGCGGGUUGCUGGGCUGACACUGACGCUGGAAACGCGAAAGCUAGGGGAGCGAACGGG